rnacentral:rRNA from 1 species
GAUGAACGCUGGCGGCGUGCCUAAUACAUGCAAGUCGAGCGAACACACCAGGAGCUUUCUCCUCUGACUUUAGCGGCGGACGGGUGAUUCACUCGUGGAUAACCUACCUCUAAGACUGGGAUACCAUUGGGAAACCGUAGCUACUACCGGAUAAUAUAUUGAACCUCAUUGUUCCAUCGUUAGAUUCGCUAUUUCGUACGCUUAUAGACUGCCAAGCGCCCGAUUAGUUAGUUGGCAGGGUAACGGCUUACCCAGGCUACGAUGCGUAGCCGACCUGAGAGGGUGAUCGGCCAGCCUGGAAGUGAGGCACAGUCCAGACUCCUGCGCGAGGCAGCAGUAGGGAAUCUUACGGAAUGGGCGAAAGCGGGACGGAGCAAAGCCGCGUGAGUGAUGAAGGUGUUAGGAUCGUAAAACGCUGUUAUUAGGAGAGAACUAAUGUGUAAGUAACUAUGAACGUCUUGACGGUACCGAAUCAAAAAGCCACGGCUAACUACGUG